GGCGCUACACACUGAGCGGAGCAGCGCACGCAGGCGCACCGGGACAGCCUCCUGGGCGGAGCGGGUCUAGCGGCAGCGGCGGCGGCUGCCCCUGGGAGGGGCUCCGGGGAGCGGGGGCUGCUUGGGCUAGUGCCCAGGAGCGUGGUUUGCCCUGAAGAGAGAUGCCCCCCGGUAAUGCGCACCGAUCACUAAAGGAGCCAGUGAGCGAGUUAGGCCAUUUAGCAGGAGCCCUGUGGGUCCCAGGGUAUUAGCGAAGCAACAUCUUGUACUGGGCCAACGUGGUGGCUGGAAGCAUCUCUCUCUCACCAACAGAAAUUGGGCCCAUAAAAGCUAUGACCUCACCCACCUUGUCUCCGAAGUAUUCCUAGGAAUAUAGAAAUUGCCAUAUCAUCAUGGGCAGGGCAUGCACCCAGCUGGGGGAGACUAGCCCCCAGCCCCGGCUCUUCCAGCUUGUUGUCACUCUGUGUGUCCAAGAUGUUUACUCAAGAUUAAUUGGUGGUCCUGGAAGAGACAGAGGACAGAGAAGCGAACUCUAAGAGAAAUGUCUGCCUAGAAAAUGCUGCAAGAAAAGCUAUCUGCCCUAAGCAUUGUGCAUCGAAAGUGACAAACUCCAUAGCUUAUCAUUUAAGAAAAUCAAUGAAUUUGCUCUCCAAAAAAAUCAUGAUAGAAAAUGUUCUAAAUUGUAUUAAUGUAUUAAAUGUAUUAAAAUUAAUGUGAUAUGCAGACAUACUGCAGCUUGUACUGCUUCCAUUAAGUAAGCUUGUCUAUGUAACUGUAACUGCUUUUGUGUAGCUUUAGAUAUAAACUUUUCAUAUCUACUAAUUAAGAAAUCAUAGAUGAAAAUAUGUUAAUUUGAAACUAUUUUAUAAUGCAAACAGGCAUAUUGCAAGACAUGUUUUAGUUAGAUUAUUAUUCUAGUUUUAUAACUUUGCCUUUGUAUAUAUGCAAAUAUAAAGUUUUCGUAUUUAUAUAUUCAA